CUUCACUGAAUUAACUCUCAAACCCUUAGGCGCGCCUUUUUGGCUGAAAGUUUUCACUUCCUUCGCUUCUUCUUCUUUGUUUACUGCUAAGAUCUUACUUAGUGCUGCUCAUGUAGGCGAAGUCGACCGAUUAAAAAUAGCUCAUCUACUUGGAUAAUGGAUAUGGAAUAGGUGGAAGUGCUAUUCAUUUGGCUGCUGCUGGAGGGAUAGUUCGAUGUUCUUAAGUACUUGAUUGAGGAGAUGAAACUUAUGUGGAUGUGGAAAGUAAUUUAGGGCAUAACGAUAUCAUACCUUUAUUACUUCCAAAAGGUAUUAAUGUGGAUGUUUCGAAUGGUAAUGGCUCACCGCUACAAUAUGCUGCCGUUGCUAGCAAAUACGCUAUUGUUAAAGUUCUUCUGGAUCAUGGUGCCAAUCCAAAUCUAGUCUUGUAUGAUACAUUUACUCCACUUCAUUCAUCUGUAUAUGUCCAAUCUUGGCAAUGCGCGGAAGCAUUACUGAAGGCAUGUGCUGAUCCAAAUGGUGGAUCAGAUGGAACAAGAGCUCUGCCACUAGCAGCUGUAAUGGGGGUAGUAAAAAUCAUCAGGCUGGUGCAGAUCCAUAUGUUACAAAUAUACACGGACUAAAGCCAAUUGAAGUCUCAGCUUACAAAGAUAAUCGUCGAGGUGUUGAAAUUCUUUUUCCUGUGACUUCUCCUUUUCCAUCAUAUGUUGAGUGGAGAGUAAAUGGAAUAAUUGAAGCAUGCAUAUUCUAAGGAGUUUGACAAUAAGAUAAAUACAAUAUGUAUAUUUAUUUUGAGGUUUUGAAUAGUGUCUUAAGACAAUAAGCUCACUAUCUUUUCACUGGCAUACUAUAAAUCAAAUUACUAGAAGUUCUGGAUCGACAUUAGGUUUGUAGUAUCAUGCCAUACCAUUUUAUACUUGUUUUUGUUGCUCACUAUCAUAAAUGUGUAGUUCAUAGAGACUUUUGAAGUGAAUUUAUUGUAUUAAAUAUCCAUUAUUGACAAAUGAUUCGUCAAGCGAAGGCGGCUUUUGUUGAGGCAAAAUCAAGGGGCACAAGUGCAUUCCAUAGAAAGGAGUAUUGGCUAGCAGUGUCUUGGUAGACAGAGGGAAUAUUCACAUUUAUAUUAGAAAUGUGCAUUUGCCAUAUCAUGAUCUAGAAACGAAAUAGGGUACAAGCCUUCAUUUUUCUUUUGGCAAAUAAAGCAUUAAGAGGUUUUGGGGAGAUUCUUGUUCAAGUGAAGAAAUUUGUUGAAAGAAAAGAGAUGGGUGAUGUGCAGUCAAUACUACCACGGGAGAUUAUUUAGGCCUGUUGCACACCGUCAAUGGUCAGAUGGUAGGAAGAUCAGAAGCCGAAAAUGUGUACAUGGGCAAAUGAUUUUCAAAGGAUCACGAUAACAUGAAUUGUUGUCGCAUUUGCUUAAAUGGUUUCAUAGAGAAUCCCAUUGACAACUAUGAGUUUUUGAUAUAUUGAGAGCUUAAUGCAGUCCUCAGAAAAGAAUUCAAGAAGCAAAGGGCACUGGCUAAAAAAGGCUCUGUAGGAUGGAAAGGUGUGGGCACUGAGAAAGAAGAAAUAGAUUUGUUAUCAAAGAAGCUCUUAAUAAAAGUAAUUUCGCAUUUGGAGUCGUUGAUCAUCAACUAAAGUUGUGUCUUCAUGUUCCCCAACCAACCUUUCAGAAACGAAAGACGAAAGGAGUACUAAGCGAUUAAAUUGUUUUAUCAAACUUUCAUAUUUGCAACUGUGAUCAAAAGGAAGAGCUCAAGAUGCAGAGAAGAGUUGGAGGAAUGUGAGGCGCAAAAUGGAAGUGAUAGAGAGAAACUUAUCGAUGAGAAACAGAAGGUGCGGGCACUUCAGUUAGCGGGACAAUGCGGUUAAUGUAAGGAGAAUUCAACUCAAACUAUUGCUGCCAUGAUGGUCUCAGUGUGGUAUUACCAUAGUACUUGGGCAUAAAGUUGCUUGGUUUCCCUUUAUCGCAGCUUUAUUUGUUCGUGAACUAUGAACCUUACUUGCAAUGUUGCAACUUGUGUUACUUAUCUGAAUCAAGAUUUGUACAAUGUGUUAAAUGUAAGAAUGAGCUGUCUGUUUAACUUAUCCUCGAUCUUUAUUUGGUUUGUUGUUUGAUUU